CCUGAGAAACCCAAAAGAUCGAAUGGGGAGAUUCAUCGUCAGCGAUCCUGGUACGUGUGCGGUUCGUGAUGUCCGAGACUUCGGUCUCGUGGCACGCGUCCGCAUGGUUUUAUUGCCGGGUGUCGUCGGCGUGCACUUCUCCUCUAGUAGGACGUCGCGACCCGUUGGGUGUCGGUCUACGGCCCGGGUGGGCGCCUGUCAUGUAUCACGCUUUACGGCGUCAUGUGGCAGACCCCCGGUUGUCUGGCCGGCUGCUCGGCGGUACUCGCAAGGUAUCGGGCCGCAAAUAUUCGAACUGCGUCCGGCCCGCCGCAAGCGAGGUCAGUGUUUCCCGGUAGUACGGACCUAGCGCCGUCACCGGGCCUGACCAGCUGUUGGUUGGCGGUGUCCUCGGACAGGCUCUGCAUUAUGAUACCGGUCGGCGACGCUACUGCUUUGGGUACUUUCAGGA
rnacentral:rRNA from 1 species